rnacentral:rRNA from 1 species
UACGGGGGGAGCAAGCGUUGUUCGGAUUUACUGGGCGUAAAGGGCGCGUAGGCGGCACGACAAGUCACUUGUGAAAUCUGGAGGCUUAACCUCCAGCGGCCAAGUGAAACUGUUGAGCUCGAGUGCAGAAGGGGCCACUGGAAUUCUCGGUGUAGCGGUGAAAUGCGUAGAUAUCGAGAGGAACACCUGCGGCGAAGGCGGGUGGCUGGGCUGACACUGACGCUGAGGCGCGAAAGCUAGGGGAGCGAACGGG